AGAUUAAGUUAUUAAGGGCGCACGGUGGAUGCCUUGGCACUAGAAGCCGAUGAAGGACGUUACUAACGACGAUAUGCUUUGGGGAGCUGUAAGUAAGCUUUGAUCCAGAGAUUUCCGAAUGGGGAAACCCAGCAUGAGUUAUGUCAUGUUAUCG
rnacentral:rRNA from 1 species